UUAUUAUUUUAGCUUUAUAUUUUUUUUCGUAUGAGAAAAACGCGACGAGGAUUAUUGAGCCAUUCAAUAAUUAUUAUUUCCAAGUUAUAACUGACUUAGCAAAGUCAUGUUAUUUAUUAAUCGAAAAACAGAAGCAGUUAUAUUUUAUUAGUGCUACUAGAAGUCGAGAAAUUAUUCCGACUGCAACGCAGAUUAAAUCUACGGAUUUAAUCUAGAUUCAUAUUACAGUAUUAGCAUCACCAAGGCAUGAGGAUAUACUUCAUUUAUUCAUCAAUAUCAUUCUCAUACUUUACAAACUCUUACAAUCAAUUUUCGUUCAUACCUUCCAAUUACACCACAAUAAUUUGGCAUUUGCAUAAAGAAGAAAAGAGAAAGAAGAAUAGGAAAAGGAAAAAGGAAAAGUGUUGCCACCAUCCUUUGCUCCCCUCCUUUCCUUCCACCAUCUACCACUUUAUACCAUGCCCUUUAUUCCCACACAUCUAUCAAUUCAUAAGUUUUCUCUCGCAACCAAGAAUUUCAUCAACUGGAUGAUCCGAACUUCCAUCGUCCAUCAAAUUAAUAACAGCAACAACGGGAUCUUUUCAUAAAAGGUUUCAUUCUUCAAUUCAAUUAAUAUGUCAAUUUCCUUAAAGCCAAAACAUUCAGGUUUUCAACAGCUCAACUUAAGGUUCCAUCUUGUAACCUUCUCGCCGAUUUCAUUUUUACAGUAUGUUAUAAACAACCAAUUGUUUCAGUUUCAACUCACCACAUGAACAAGAACAUUCAAGGUCAAGCGCGAGAGUAAGAACUACACAAGGAGUUAGAGUACCUUAGCAAAACUUUGCUAUCAGGUUGAGCUGUGAUGGGCGAUGAAGUGUUGUUGCUGAGUGGAGUUUUUGUCGAACUUAAAGUAGGCUCAGAAAGGGUACAUGUCUUCAUACAUGUAUCUCAGUUAUGCAUUCCGCUGUAAACACUGAUUAUUUCA